rnacentral:rRNA from 1 species
UACGUAGGGGGCAAGCGUUGUCCGGAUUUAUUGGGCGUAAAGAGCGUGUAGGCGGCCAUACAGGUCCGUUGUGAAAACUCGAGGCUCAACCUCGAGACGUCGAUGGAAACCGUAUGGCUAGAGUCCGGAAGAGGAGAGUGGAAUUCCUGGUGUAGCGGUGAAAUGCGCAGAGAUCGGGAGGAACACCCGUAGCGAAGGCGGCACUCUGGGUCGGUACUGACGCUGAGGAGCGAAAGCGUGGGGAGCAAACAGG